rnacentral:misc_RNA from 1 species
GAGUCACCCUGAAGGCUACAAGAGCGACACCGAUGCCGAGACCGGAUGGAUGCAAGCUGGAUCCUGAGGUUCCUAAGCUCCUACGACACCGAGGCAACAGGGAGAAGCGGCGGUCCUUGGACGACGCUGACGACGACCAGUCUCCCUGCGACACCGAGGCCGACAACGACGAGCCUCUGCUGGUGUUCGUGGAUCCCCAGGAGCUAGAGCCGAUGUCGACGAUGGCGGGAGGGGCUGCCGCCGCCGCUCCCUCGCAACCACGUGCUAUUAGGACAAGGACAGCAGCAGCGUCAGCCGACGACCAAGGGAAGACUAGGAACCAUGGCGGCACACCGGAUCCACCCACUAGAGAGUCGGAUCCACUCUAGGGAGGCUUGAUCUGGUCGAUGAUGAGGCCCUAGCGACGAGGUGACGGUCGACAAAAGCAUGAAUGAAACAGGAGGUGGAGGAGAGGAGGGGCAUGAGAGAGCUGAGGUAAGGCCCACUGCCGCUUUCCUAGCACCAGCGCUGGCCUGGCCUCCCAGCCACGUGCUCCGGCGACAGCGAGGUGGUGGAGGCGGGUGGCGGUGUGUGGGUGGUGCGGCGCAGGGCUCCACUUAAGUAGGCGGCAUAUUUUAACUACACCAAAAGCCACUAGUGCAACAUCAUGAUAAACAUGUGCCUUGGCAUCGCACGACGAUUAGCAUACCUCCAUCAUUGUGUCAAUCCCAACAAUAUUCAUCAAGAUAUUAAAGCAAGCAAUAUACUUCUUGACACGGAUCUUACCUAUAAAAUCUCAGAUUUUGGUGUACCAAAGCUUCUUCCACCAAACACAACACACAUUAGCACCACUACAGGAAAACGACCAGUUUCCGACGGCCUGCACUGUUUCCGACGGUUCCUAGGGUACCGUCGGAAAUAGGACAAUGUAAGUGAAUGUCUC